AAGAACAGGGUGUGCCUCAAGCUAAUCAAGAAUCUCCAGUUUUGUAUCAUUUCACAAAUAUAAGCCCUUUCCUGGGAUCAUUUCAGCUGCAUAAUAAUGACCUGCUGGUUUGUACCACACCAAGGAAUACAACCCAGAGAGACCCCAGAGCCAGUGGCAGCAAAGAGGCAGCCUGUCAGACUGUCCACAGCCCCAUGCUAACACAAGGCUGAGUCAGAAGAUGCUGUUAUAGCACAAGUCAUCUCAGCAAUCCAUUGUCCUCAAGAAAGCAACCAUGGCACAAGCAGGUACAGUAAAGGCAGAAGGGAAGGACAGAUGCAACAAGGAAGCAAGAAGGAGC
rnacentral:lncRNA from 1 species